rnacentral:lncRNA from 1 species
CAUGGCAAGUUAAUGUUCUUUUGUUUUUCCAGUUAACUUUCUAUAUGUUGGAAGCAGCUCAGGGUUGAAGUUUCUCAGGGACAGAAAAGAGCAAUGGGAAGAGCUGUUAGGUGAGAGAGGAUUCCUAGAAAAUCCUUCUGUUACAGAUCUGGUCAGAGCCUCAUCAUCUCCAAGCAUCGCCCCUCCCUGAUGAAAGCAGGCAGGUUAUUACAGUGGGUAUCUGGCUGGAUGCCUCUGACUGAGCCUCUGUGGGCUAGAGAGUCAGUACUGUUCUCACAGUCCCACCCUGGUGAAGGAAGCCACAUGACUCCAAGGAUGACGGUUUCCAUCCCUGUUAGCCACCCAACCAUGUGACCAUUCACAAGAUGCCUGGACUUUUGCUGUGUUUUGGACGGGGGAGGGGCAUAGCAAGGCAAUUGAGAAAAUGAAGUUGGGUUUUCCUGGUUUAUUUCCUGACCUCUUCUGUCUUCCUUCCAGAAGAUCAAGGUUGUGUGUGUGGGAUCCUGGGGCUGCAACAGCAAGACGAAGUCACCCUAGUGAGCUCAGGGUGAGACAGGACAUUGUAUACUGACAGACAUGGCAAAUGGUUGAUCUGGCUGGAGUGUUGGAGCAGGGGUGAGGAAGAAGCAAGAAGAUUAAGAAAUGUUUUCUUGUCGGUGAACAGGACCUGUAAGGUCUUGUGAUGUGUGCAGUGCGCCGGUGCAGUCGUCCCGGCUAAGUGCCUUAAUCAAGGAAGAGAGUGGAUGUGAACAUCAGUGCUGUGUGUAGACCCCUGAGGAUGGAUUUAGAUUGGAGCCUCUGCACAUAACUGUCUGGGGAGAGCCAUGCAGCGGGACCAGUGAGACACACCCUGGGGGUUGUAGCUGUGUAUUGUGAACCCUGGUGGAUGAAUUCUUACCUGAGCAGUGGAUAUCAGGCGCUGGUGGGAAAGCCAGAACUGAAGUCAGAAUGACGUUGGCUGGGUCUGUGCUGUCAGAAUGGGGCUAAGGUAGGCCAAGCCAGGCCUCCUGACUCUGUGAGUAACUGUAGUAGUAUCUGGGGGUGUGUAAGGAAGGCAGGGGCACCAAGCCUCGAUGGUGGGAUCUACAUGUGUCCACUUGCGAAGGGUGCUAUAGGUGGCCUGAGGGCACUUGUUUAUGAUUAGAGUCUUGGAAAUGUCACUCUUCCCAUCGGCUCACUCUAUCUCUGGCUUUGACAACACAUACCUUUGUCACCCAGCCUCAGAGGCAAAUCUUGACUUCUCUCUGAAAUAAAUUUUACUCUGUAUACCCUGCAGAGUCCUCAGCCAGAGCCUUUUCCCAGUGGGGAGGCAGGCUUGGACAUGGUUCACCAGUGUGUGGAGUGGCUUGUCCACCACUGCCUUGAGAGUAGCCAUCUUCAUUCUGGGAUAGGCAGGGAAGGUUGCUGGAGGGUAUCCUGUCUCAUACUGCAUUUGCCCCAUGUCUUGUCCCUCUUCAAAAGCAGGUGACUUUUGUUGGAUAUUACAAGAUAUUUGGAGUAUGGAGGACUUCAAGUCAUCUGUGUCGGUCCCACCUCCACCCACGUAUGAUGGUGCUAUCUGCCAGGGCUUUGGAAAGUAGACUUAGAUGGAGCGCCAUCAUGGGAUGAAAUCAAUUUAUAAGAGGCUGGCUGUAAGCCAGAUCACCGGCUCUCACAGGGCGCCUUCCUCUCAGGAUUUCCAGCAUCCAGAGCUGUGAGCAGUAACUGCCUGUUGUUAACACCAGCUAUCCUGAGGUAUUUUGCUGUAGCAGCCUGAGCCGACUGAGACACUGAUAACCUCUGUAGUUGUGCCUGCCUUCAAGUGCAUAUGAGCUUAUCCCGAGAACAUCAGCAAUGGCCUGGCAGCCUGCUUGACCCUCUGACUUCGUCCUUAAAGUCUCUUGGGAUGGGUCAGCAGGGGGUUUGUGGAAGAGUGCCACAAUUUCAGGUAGACACCUGCAGUGUUUGGGGCUCUUGAUGAUGCUAACCAUCCCAUCCUGAGCUUGUUAAAAAUCAACAUCGUUUUCCUUUCAACUGUCUGUGUGGUUGAUCCUGCUGUUCUGGAAGGGUCAUAGGUGAAAGGUUUCUCUUCUCCAUCACAGGUUCUAGUACCCUCUGGAAUUCCCUUGACUUUGUUUCCCUUUGCCUCUACACCCUGUGGACACCACAAAACAAGAGUUCUGAUUCCGUAGAUUCUCUUGUCUGCCUUUUUCUCCUGCAUUGGGUGGUGAUGCCCAUCUCCAGCAGCUGACUGUAGCCCUAACAGACAAGGAACCCAGGAAAUGGAAUUUUGAAAGGAAAAAACUAGGAACUGGCAUGCUUUCCUGGGGUGGUGGGGUUUCCAGCUGGGCUAUUUGUUGGCACUGCCUCAGCCUGAUUUCAAACACCUUUUCCAUUCAUUUCCACCAGGGACUCUUAGGAUGAGGCAAAAUCCCAAAUGUCUCUUGUCCCAUGUUUCAUGUGUUGCUCAGUACAGAGAGUUGGGGGAGAGGAAAGGUAUUUCCAGAGUCAAUUUUAGGGUUUCAGUUGAGUUAAAUUAGUAACUAGACUUCC